UACGGGGGGGGCAAGCGUUGUUCGGAAUUACUGGGCGUAAAGGGUUCGUAGGUGGCUUGUUAAGUCAGACGUGAAAUCCCUCGGCUCAACCGGGGAACUGCGUCUGAGACUGAUGAGCUCGAGUGCAGGAGAGGGACGCGGAAUUCCAGGUGUAGCGGUGAAAUGCGUAGAUAUCUGGAGGAACACCGGUGGCGAAGGCGGCGUUCUGGACUGCAACUGACACUGAGGAACGAAAGCCAGGGGAGCAAACGGG
rnacentral:rRNA from 1 species